rnacentral:rRNA from 1 species
UACAGAGACCCCGAGCAUUAUCCGGAUUUAUUGGGCGUAAAGCGUUCGUAGGCGGUUUCGUAAGUCAUUUGUAAAAUCCUCAGGCUUAACUUGGGGGCUGCAGGUGAUACUGCGAGGCUUGAGAGUGGGAGAGGUAAGCGGAAUGCCCGGUGUAGCGGUAAAAUGCGUUAAUAUCGGGUAGAACACCAAAGGCGAAGGCAGCUUACUGGAACAUUUCUGACGCUGAAGAACGAAAGCGUGGGUAGCGAAAGGG